rnacentral:misc_RNA from 1 species
GAUGAAGAACGUAGCGAAAUGCGAUAAGUAGUGUGAAUUGCAGAAUUCAGUGAAUCAUCGAAUCUUUGAACGCACAUUGCGCCCCUUGGUAUUCCAUGGGGCAUGCCUGUUCGAGCGUCAUUUGUACCUUCAAGCUUUGCUUGGUGUUGGGUGUUUGUCCUGAGGGACUCGCCUUAAAGUAAUUGGCAGCCAGUGUUUGGUUUUGAAGCGCAGCACAAGUCGCGAUUCAAAGCUAUACGCCCGCUUCCACAAGCCUUUUUCACUUUUGACCUCGCAUCAGGUAGGGAUACCCGCUGAACUUAAGCAUAUCAAUAAGCGGAGGA